UGAAGACAAGGUAGGUGCAUGGUAAGUCUUCACCCGCCAUCUCCUUUGUCCAAGACCAGGAUGACCCCCAGAACCCUCCCCAAACUGAUUCCAGACCACUCCUCCUCAGAUCCAAGCCCCACCCCUGAUGCACUGCCCAGAACUACCUGUUUGCUCCAGGACCCUUUGCCUACGGGGGUGACUCUUAAAGAUCAAUGUGGAGAGAGGUGGCACCGCCCUUGGGAUCGCAGCUGUGGGCAGUUUUGAGGUAUCUGCACUCUGUGAGGAGGCACAGCAUGGUGGCCACCUGGCCGCUUCUGGCGUUUGGAGAAAAAAAUCUCUGUAGAAACAUUAACUCCUCAGGGCAAAAGGACCAGAAAUAUCCUGACCAAAGCCAGCCGGGCACAGCCUCUGUGGCCUGAAAACCUGUCUGUGAUGGUGGACCCUGGUGGAUCUGUGACCGUGGGCCUGUGAACGUGCACACUAGUGGACAUCGCAGCCUUGAUAACACACCAGAUUGGCCCAGAGGCUCAGCCCUGGACCUCAAGAUGGAAGAAAGGAGAGAACCCAGUUCGAGAGUUGUUCUCUGAUCUUGACAGUGUCUUGACCUGUUUACCCCCAAGCCAAAUAAAUGUAAGGAAAAGGUUUGUAA